CAGCCGCCGCGGGAAUACGAAGGGGGCUAGCGUUGUUCGGAAUCACUGGGCGUAAAGCGCACGUAGGCGGACACUUAAGUCAGAGGUGAAAUCCCAAGGCUCAACCUUGGAACUGCCUUUGAUACUGGGUGUCUUGAGUUCGGGAGAGGUGAGUGGAACUGCGAGUGUAGAGGUGAAAUUCGUAGAUAUUCGCAAGAACACCAGUGGCGAAGGCGGCUCACUGGCCCGAUACUGACGCUGAGGUGCGAAAGCGUGGGGAGCAAACAGGAUUAGAUACCCCCGUAGUCCCUGUCUCUUAUAC
rnacentral:rRNA from 1 species